CCUACGGGCGGCAGCAGUGGGGGAUAUUGCACAAUGGGGGAAACCCUGAUGCAGCGACGCCGCGUGAGUGAAGAAGUAUUUCGGAUUGUAAACUGCUUUAGACAGGGAAGAAAAAAGACAGUACCUGUAGAAUAAGCUCCGGCUAACUACGUGCCAGCAGCCGCGGUAAUACGUAGGGAGCAAGCGUUAUCCGGAUUUAUUGGGUGUAAAGGGUGCGUAGACGGAGAAGCAAGUUAGUUGUGAAAUCCCUCGGCUUAACUGAGGAACUGCAACUAAAACUACUUCCCUUGAGUACUGGAGAGGAAAGUGGAAUUCCUAGUGUAGCGGUGAAAUGCGUAGAUAUUAGGAGGAACACCAGUGGCGAAGGCGACUUUCUGGACAGUAACUGACGUUGAGGCACGAAAGUGUGGGGAGCAAACAGGAUUAGAUACCCUUGUAGUC
rnacentral:rRNA from 1 species